rnacentral:lncRNA from 1 species
GAAUACCUUCCAAAGUCUGGAGGCAAUGUUCCAGACAAAUUAUUGAUGAACACUCUGAACUGUUUGAGAUUUGGUAGACGGCCAAUGCUUGCUGGAACCGCACCAGAAAAACCAUUUAAAAACAAAGCUAACCAUGUUAAUUUGGUAAGGUUUCCAUAAUCUUGUGGUAUUGGGCCUGUUAAAUGGUUUGUAGAAAUAUCAAUGACAGUCAAGUUCAAUGCUUCAACCACUUGAGGUACAUACCCAGACAGGCUGUUGUUGUAGAGAUAGAUUAUACUCAACUUCUUCAACAGAAACAAAACACUUGGGAUUGUCCCAUUUAAACUGUUGGUUGCCAAAUCCAAUUCUUCCAGUGCUGCCAUUUCUCCAAGUGUUCCGGGGAGUUCUCCAAUCAAAUUCGAUCCGCGUAUAUACAAAGUCUUCAAGUUUUUCAACUUGGUGAAAUUGGAAGGUAGAUUCCAUGGCACAAGUUUUGUAUUGAAAGAGAGACUUAGGUGUUUAAGAUUGGACAAGUUACCUAUUUCUGGUGGCACGGAACCAUUAAAGUUGUUCAUAUACAGCUGCAGGUUCCUGAGCUCUUGUAACCGCCCAAUAGCCGCCGGUAUGUCACCAGAAAAGUAGUUAGCGCUAAGGUCAAGGUAUUGAAGCCGAUGCAAGCUAUCGAUAUCGUCAGGAAUCUUGCCAUCAAAGGAAUUUUGAGAGAGGUUCAAGUACUGUAGCUUUGAACAGUUGUAGAAAGCUUUUGGGAACUCUCCAGCAAAGUUGUUGUAGCUGAGAUCAAUGAGUGUGAGGUUCUUGAGAUCACAAAUGAAAGGUGGAACUGGUAGGGUGAUGUUCGUGUGGACCAGAGACAAUCCGGUGACGGAGUUGUUUGUGCAGGUGAUCUCAGGCUGCCAGGAACAGUGGGAAGUGUUUGAUGUUGAUGGAAUCCAAUGACUGAGGAACGGUGGAGAUUGCAAGUAUGACUUUAUUUUUAGCAGAACAGCUUGUUCUUGGUCUUGCAAUGACUGAGAGUUGGCAUGGCUGAUGAGGAGGAGGGGGAGGAAGAGAAGGAAGCAGAGAUGGGUGUGGAGAGAAGAUGUUAGGGUAGGUUCAGUCAUUUGGUGAUGGAGGUUCAGAAGUUGGUUUGUUCCCGCGGCAUGAACUCUGGUUUUGAUGACAAGACAAGUAAGUUAAGGGAAGUUGAUUUCCUUGUAGUGUUGGAAAGUGGAAACUUCAAAACCAUUUGCAGGGCCACAAACGAAUGCAAACUUUUGGCAAUUUGAGUGGAGGACCUGGAAAAUGAUGGUCAACGGAGACCAUUUAGCCUACCACCAAUUAGUGGAGGACCUGGAAAAUUAUGGCAAUUUGAGUGGAGGACCUGGAUUGUUCUUAUCAGUUAGCUUAGCUGUUAACUUAUUAUAUUCGAAGGUUUGUUCACAAGAAACAAAGUUAUAUCAGGAGCCCAACCAAUUGACUUUUUGUUUUGUUUUGAUCAAAUGUGGGUCAGGGGUUCGAACUUGGUACCUCAUCCAACGUGGGGAAGAGAAGUAGCACUAGACCAAGAGCUACUUGAUACCAGUUGAUAUUCUAUAUAUGUUAUGGUUAUGGCAGCUAAAAUCCUCUCCUUCCUUCCUUGCCAAAGUUUUAAACUGCAAGAAAUUAUAUUGUUAAAGCCACAAAUGUCUGCAGAAGAUAAGGCAAGUUUUCGAAUAAAACAAGGCAGGCUGAAAGCCAAACGUGACGUACGUGAAGGGCAAGACGGCAUUGAAAGUUCCUUCCUGGAAUGUCACGUGUGAACAGAGAACGCCAUUGUUGAAUGAAGACUUGAUUUAUUGCUUUUUAAUUUUAAUGGGAGACUUUGAUCCCAUAUUGUUAUUAUUUUCCACUGAUACAGACGGGAGGAGAAAAAUGAAAAAAAAAAUUCCACUGGAAUGAAAAGUUGCAGAGGUGUGACGAAAUGGCAUUAAUUGGAAAACAAGCAAGAACCUAGGUGGGUGGGUUGUUGUCCUAACACACUCACGUUUGUUUGUUUCAGUUCUAGAAGAUGCACAAAAUUUCAAUUCAUGUGGGCUUUGAACUUUGGAGAAAAGUUGAGUCAUGAUAUCAAUGGGUUUUGGUGGAAAUAGAUUUGUAGUCUGUCAAAUAUAUGGACUGCAUUAUUUCUAAAAGCUGAUAGUGAAAAGCAGUAUGCAUCCAGAUGCAGUGCAGGGCCAACAACCAAGAUGCUGGAAAAAAGAAAUGCAAGUUUUCUGUUGACCAAUCUUGGCCUCUCUUCUUCUACUCAAACUUUAUGUGUAUCAUGUGAACUUUUGACUCAAAAACCAAGCGUCAAGGACCUUGCUGAUAACUUAAUGAAAUCACAAAUUUCUUUAGAUAUUAAUUAGAUAUUAUCACGUUCGCACGUGCAGGUGCAAACUGUAUGAAGUUAGUUAUUUACCCCAAAAGAAUUCAGAAAAAUUAUUUUCAUAUUGUAUGAAGUUUGUUGACUCAAAAAAGUCACCACUCACCACUCACCACUCACCUACAGGAAGCCCACGAAAUUAGUUUGGGCCUUGACUGAUUGAAUUGACUGCUUAGGGCCCUCAGUUUUCUACUUUGUUUUUGUUUUUGGUUUUUAAUGUAAGAGAGAGUCUAAGCCCAGUUUGGUCUGGUCCGUUAUUUUCUCUCUUGAUUAAAGUCCGUUCGGCUUGGCCCAAGCCUAAUAAAUUUUGGACCGAAUUGGCCUGGCCCAUUGACUAGGCUUAGCUACAAGGGGGAGAGGUUUCUCUUACACAUACAUUACGUAUCAAGGUGUCAUGAGAGUUCAAACUAAGACCACUAGUUAGCAAGUGAAUGCCCUUUUCCACUUGGCUAGACCCCGUUGGCUCCUACUUUGUUUUAUUAUUACUGAGUUAAAAUUAAAAUAGAGAAUCCCCUAAUAUAAAUUGAAUUUCCUUAUGCUUAAAGGACUAUGUUUGGUCAGACCGAAACAAAAAGGACUGGAAAUCUCUACAAAUGAUAAAAUAGAGAAAAGGGCACUUGUUUUCACAUCCCGCAUCAAUUAGUAUCGCACCGUUGAGUAGCUACUUAUCAGAUUGGCAAAAUCCUUGAACGGCUAUAAUCUAAUGCUUGGCUAACAAGUAAAGGAUUAUGAACGGCUAUGGUUACGUGCGAGUUUAAUGAGAUUAGGAUUCGUUUUUAGUUUCGUUCUAUGUAUUUUAUUUUCAAUUUCACGUUUGUCCCAGUGAGAUUAGGAUUUCCUUAUUCUGAAAGGAUAGGAUUUUGGUCUGAAUUGUUUAUAAAUACAAGUCCACUUGUUCUCACACUUGGCAUAGCAAGAAAAGAAACCCAGUAGAGUUACCUCAAUCAAAGACGAUCCAUCAAUAUCACUAAUCUUCGUCUUCUUUUUUGACAGUGCAAGCAAACUUGUUGAAGAUGGACUUCGAGCAGUUUUAUCGUUGUUACUCUGUCUCCUCAAUUGGCAAGCCACAUGCGGAAAACGGUGAUAAAAUUAUAAUGCCGCCGUCGGCUCUCCAUCGCCUUGUUUGGGGUCCACAGGUGGCCUACCCUAUGCUGUUUCAGCUCAACAAUCCCAAUUCUGAAUCUGGACGAGUUACUCAUUGCGGGGUCUUGGAAUUUGUUGCCGAUGAGGGCUUUGUAUUUUUACCAUCUUGGAUGAUGCACAACCUGCUUUUACAAGAGGGUAACCUUGUUCAUGUCAAAAGCCAAAGCCUUGGGAAGGGAACAUAUGUCAAACUGCAACCUCACACCAAGGACUUUCUUGAUAUCUCAAACCCUAAAGCCGCUCUGGAGACGGCGUUGAGGAGCUACUCUUGUUUAACCAUUGGUGACACUAUCAUGCUUCCUUAUAACAGUAAGAAGUAUUACAUCAACAUAAUUGAAACAAAGCCCUCCUCUGCAAUCUGUAUAGUUGAUACCGACUGCGAGGUUGAUUUUGCCCCUCCUCUUGAUUAUGUGGAGCCUGAAAAGAAGCCAGCACCAUCCACUCUGCCAACGAAGAGACCACAAGAAGUUGAAGAAGAUGAACAAGAGACACCUGAAAAGAUAGCAAAGUUCAGUCCCUUUACUGGUUCAGCCAGACGAUUGGAUGGAGAACCGGUCUUGACACAAUCCGUUGCACCUGCAGUUCCCUCUCCUCCGGAACUCAGGCAGCGCCAACUGGAGAGUGAAAAUGGAACCAACAAAAAGGGUUCUAAGUCAUCAGCUUCUGCUUCACUUCAACAUUCUGGAAAGCUUGUGUUUGGUUCAAAUGUGAACCGGCCUGUGAAUGCAAUCCCAAAAGUUGCCCCAAACAACCGCAGCAGGCAAGAGCCCCCUCACAAGGCAGAAGAGCCAAAGUUGCAAGCAUUCACAGGGAAGAAGUAUACCCUGAAAGGGUGAAGUUAGGGCAUAUCGAUCCUUCAUCUAAAACAUAUGAAUUAAACGCUUAGCUAAUAUGUAAAGGGUUAGGAACGGCUAUGGUUGAAAACUUGGAUAAUAAGUAACACCCAGAGUGGGAGAAUCUGUUUCCUUUAUUAUUUGCUUGUUCUGAAUACCAUCAAUUAAAUUUUGAAGCAAUUGGAAUUGUUAUCUUUUCUACUCCUUGUUCUCUGAUUCUUCCUUUUGUAAUUUUCAUACAUGAUUGGUGCCAUUAAAAUAACAACUCAAUGUACGUAAUAAAUAUCUUUCAUACAUACAUUACACAUAAUUGGUAUUGUUUGCUUGUUAAGCUCAUUUAUCCUGGAUUGGAUUGCGUAAUAAAAUCAGGGAUGUAAACUGUGAGUAGUUUACUUUUAUUGCUUGCACUCUCAGGGAAUUAAGUUGCUUGCAUCUCUAAAUCUUCUCAAUGGUGGGAUGACUUUUGUUGAGCAUCGGAGCAAGAUAUGCAGAACCUGCUUCACUAAUUUUCUCUAAGACUGUUAUCAGAUAUACAAGCUGUAGCAUUACAUUGCAAUCACUAAUCAAGAUCAAUGCACAAUUCUGAGUUUUCUGUUCUCUGCUUUCUUCCUUAUUCUUCUCUAAAUUCCUCUACUGUCAUCAACAACAUCGCCUGUACGAUUGACAGGAACACAAUAAACUUUUCCUGAGCCGCCACUUCCAAUCAUAAUACUUUUUGAAACUCUGAAAUUCAACCUCUGAAAUAAGGUGAGCUUCCAAUCAGAAUCCGAUCUGUUUCUCUUCCAAUAAGCUCUGACCAUGAAGAAUGAUAAGGACAAAGCCAACAAGGACAAAAGUAUGCCCAAAGUUAAGAUCAAUGCAAGAUAUGUAGACCAAAUUUUGCUGGAAUUUCGAGGUUGAAAAUUACAUAUGCUGAGUUUUGCUGAGGGCCUAGCUGCACAGAGACCUUGAUUGUCCAAGAAGCUUCUGUCAUAAGCAGGAUUUUCAAAUUCAAUUGGGAUCUUCCCAGAUAGGUGAUUGGAAGAAAGAUUGAAGUUGCUGAGCUUCAGAUUCCCAAGUUGAGCUGGAAUUUGGCCAGAAAAUUGGUUUUCUGAAAGGUCCAGUUCAGUAAUGACUGGUAGAAGACCAAGUCCUGCUGGAAUUGGUCCAGAGAGUUGAUUUCGACUCAAAUUAAGAGCGUUGAGUGAUUUCCAUGAUAUAAUCUCUGAUGGAAGGAAGCCAGUAAGCUGAUUCUGAUCAAGAGAAAGAGUGAUUAAGCUAGGAAGAGUAGUAAGUUUCUGAGGGAUAGUACCGUUAAAAAGGUUAUUACCGGCGUCAAAAACCUUCAAGUUCCAGGAUGACACCCCGGUUGGAAUGUUACCUGAAAAUCUGUUAUCUCUUAUUUCCAGCCGUGUAAGAUUCCGAGACAUUUUCUCAGGAAGCUCACCGGUAAGAGAGUUGUUGCUCAUCAGCACGUGAAUCAAGUUUGGUGCUGUCCACAUGCCACUAGGAAUGUUCCCAGACAAUCCAUUACCAUAAACCUUCACUUCUGUUAAACUAGUGCAAUUUCCAAGAGAGCUUGGUAACUCCCCAGUGAGAUUGUUCUCAUAAGCUACAAGUGUUGACAGCUUACCCCAAUAGCACAAAUGGUCUGGCAGUUUGCCAGUGAGCCUAUUCCCCGAAACCUCGAACCCUUCAAGCUCUGAAUACCUUCCAAAGUCUGGAGGCAAUGUUCCAGACAAAUUAUUGAUGAACACUCUGAACUGUUUGAGAUUUGGUAAACGGCCAAUGCUUGCUGGAACAGCACCAGAAAAACCAUUUAAAAACAAAGCUAACCAUGUUAAUUUGGUAAGGUUUCCAUAAUCUUGUGGUAUUGGGCCUGUUAAAUAGUUUGUAGAAAUAUCAAUGACAGUCAAGUUCAAUGCUUCAACCACUUGAGGUACAUCCCCAGACAGGCUGUUGUUGUAGAGAUAGAUUAUACUCAAAUUCUUCAACAGAAACAAAACACUUGGGAUUGUCCCAUUUAAACUGUUGUAUGCCAAAUCCAAUUCUUCCAGUGCUGCCAUUUCUCCAAGUGUUCCGGGGAGUUCUCCAAUCAAAUUCGAUCCGCGUAUAUACAAAUUCUUCAAGUUUUUCAACUUGGUGAAAUUGGAAG